GUUAAUGGCACUGGAAGAAUUC
rnacentral:miRNA from 5 species